CCUCAGCCUUCAUGCUCCAAUUUUGCAUUAGCUUCCUCUCUUCCCAUGCUUGGAAGGAAUACAACUCCCUGAGUCUUUAGCAAUUUAGAUGCCCAUUCAAGGAAGGACUUUAUUUCUUUAAAGCAUAUCAGAAUCUUGGGGGAAAGGAGGCUGGAUUCCAUAUGCAUCUUCAGAUCAUUUUACAGAUGAGGAAUGGAGGCAAACAGGAUUGUGACUUUUCUAGGAUCACACAGCUUGGGAAAAAAGAAAAUCCUUGUCAUAAAUAUGAAUAUUCAAGCAGUCAAAUUCCUGGAUUGACUAGGACAUUUUUUCUCCAGUCUGCACCCUGAGCUCAUCAUUCCUUUUUCAAGAGAUGGACAACAUGCUACAUCAUGGAUCUUCUGAAAAUAUGAUUUGUCAUUAUGUUGAGCAGAGUUCUUGGGUCUUCCUAAGUUCUUUGCCUUCACAAUGUUAUUGUUCCCAUAGAAACUAUUCUGGAACAAUUCACUUCUCUGCAUCAUUUCAUACAAGUUUUUUUAGGUUCCUCUGAAAGUAUCUCUUUUAUCAUUAUUUCCAGUUUAUAUAACAUAAUUUGUUUAGCCUUUACAUAACUUAUAAGUACUUCUUUAUUUUCUAGUCUUAAUCACCAUAAAAAAUUGGCUAUUAUAAAUAUUUUUGUCAAUAUGGGUCCUUUUCUUAUUUCCUUGAUGCUUUGGGGAUACUGGCCCAACUUCUGGGUACUAAUGGGUCAAAUCAUAUGCACAGAUAAAUAUUUUUUAGGGAACAUAUCCAAAUUGCUUUCUAAAUUGCCAUCAAAAUUCACAAUCCACCAAUAGUAUAUCAAUAAGCCUGUUUUCCCAUAAUCCCUUUGAUAUUUGUAAUUUUUUAAACUUUUCCCAUCUAAAAUAAUUUUUCAAAAAUUUUAGUCAUUUGAAGCAUUUUAUUCACACACAUAAAGGAAGCUUGUUUUUUAUUAGAAAACUGUAAAUUCGUAUUCCAUAAUGAUAAUUUAUAAAUUCAAGAAUGACUUCACCUAUAAAUUUGAACCAGUUCCUCAAAUAGCUUGAAAAGGAGAUCCUAAGAGAAAUUUGCUGCAAGGACUUUUUCCUAGAAGGGAAGUUUUAGCUGCAUUGAUUUUGUUUGUUUAAAAAUUUAAAAUAUUGUAUAAUUGAUAUUAUACAUUUCAUAUUCUUUUAUACUUUUAAUUCCUUCUUUGGUGAUAAAGUCUUCCCCAUCCAUGGAUCUGAAAGUAAUUAAUUAUUCUUUGAUCCUCUAAUCUGUUUGUGAUGUUACCGUUUAUGUCUAAGUAUUAUAUCCAUUUAGAACUCAUCUUGGCAUGUAGUAUGAGCAAUAAAAAACUUACAAAAAUUUCCUUUGGAGUAUUAUUAGCUCAGAUUCAUAGCUACCAUAAAUGCUGAUCCAUACCUGCUUUAGAGAAACAAGGUAAGAGCUAAAUAUUCAUCAUAGGAAAUCUGUUCCAUUUUGGAUUGACCUUUGAUGAAUCAAAAGCAUUGGAGACAAUUUGGGAUAUUAUCCAAUUCAGACCCUUGGGCACAAUGAGGCAAAAUUUGUGGAUGACACCCCCCCCCUCCCCAUUAUAAAUCUUCUAGCAGGAGGAUUUCUAUAUUGGCAUCUAUCCUUUACACUAAUUUAGAAGAACUUGGCUACCACUUCUACCAAACCAAUGAUAAUACCUAUUAUUUUAUCCCACAUUGAAUUCUUUUCACAUAUAUUAUCUGUGGAUAUAACAUGAAUUUCUAUACUAUCCAUUAAUAUCUAUCAUGUUAAUGCAAGUACAUCAUAGAAUAAACAUAUGCCUUGU